rnacentral:lncRNA from 1 species
UAACAUGAACCAUAAAUUAUUUGCAUCUUCCCAAUUCUUUUACAAUGCUUGGUUUUUAAUACCCGGUAGAAAGCAUGUUACCCCUUCAUCUUACACCAUUGUUUGAACAAAUAUGACUGUUUUGGCCGUUAUUAUGGGAGUUUCCAUAGGGCCACCUGGCUCGUAGUAGUUGUGGGCUGGCCGGAUGUCAGGCUUGUGUUUAUGAUUGCUGUAUUUCUUGAAUCCACAUGUGUAUUCUUGAUGUCAAUCAAGCUCUGAUGUAUUAGCUGACGGCCAACAUCCUUACGUCGAAGGAGGUCGCCCAUCCACAGACCAUAACGACGGCGUCUGCGUUGCUAUCCCACCCGUCUAGUGUUAAACAUUGAAAGGGGUGGUUACGACACAUUCAUCAUGUUCCUACUUCUGUCGACUCUCGAGACACGCGUUUGCGUAAAGCUGAGCGCCCUACCGCGGAGAUAGGUUUAGAGGGUCACGUGGCCAUGAAAUAUGUAGGGAUCCAACCCCUCCAUGCGAACCAUGGGUCGCUACAUGACACGGUAGCGGCUCGGUCAACGCCAGAGCCAAGGUACAUGGUGUAAGGAUAUGUGAGCUCCAUCAAAUCCUGCACAGGCUUGGGGAGAUGGUCACGGGCGCUUAACGGGGCAUUGGCCACAACGGAACGGCUUGGCGUGACGCCGUACGACGAUGACCCUCGCCGACCAAUUUUUGGUAUGAUGUGUGGGACAGGGGGCAUAUCUUCAUCCGUGGCCGCUACCCGGCGAAACCCUGCCUUCUCCGGUAUUUUGGGGCACCCUCAUCCAGUCACCUAGCCGACUUCUCAGUGGAUCGCUCUGGUUCAGCGCCCGCCACCGGCAUCCAACGGAAUCUGCCGGAUCAACGGCGGCUCAACUCCUAUCCUGGUCAGCUCGUAGGACUUGGCAUGCUGACGUGCAAUCAUCGAUUGUGAAAAAACUAGCUAGUUAGACUUGUCGGCUUUGCGAUGGGUAUAGUUCUCUGUCAAUUUCCCUGAUUUCCAGCGGAGUUGCGGACAGAGUUUUCAGUUUCACUGGUUCAAACCUGUCCUUGUGAUUCCUACGUCUUUUCGCUAGAGCUUGAAGAUUUUGGGGGCGUAUGGCGUGGCUACUCGAUUAGGGUCUGGGAGAACAGGAGCUUCUUUUUGCAGUUGAUAUUAGUCAACUGGUAGCAUGGUAGCUCCGAAACCGGAGUGGCGUCGUCUUCUAAAUACUUGUCAGGUAUAUAUUGUAAAUUCUACGGGCGUA